GGAGCAUGCGCAGAAGGUCAGAUACAGUGCGCGGUUCUUCUCAGGGUACAUAGAGAAUUGACAGGUGCGUUAAAGCCGAAUCAGACGCCUUGCCUGCUUCCACUAUAACUAAACUUCACGGGAGAUAACCCCAAAACUGCAGAGUCACCCUGACUUGUUCCGAUUGCCAAAAUAAUAACUCCUUGACUAUUUCCUUGGACUCCCCUCAAGAUGAUUUCAUCCUGAAUAUUUGCCCUGCGGGUGUCUAUAGGUCACGACCUUUCUCCCCUGAGGAAGGACAAGAUGAGGCCCUGUUUCAUCCAUCUGAAUUUUAACUUGCCUGAGGUAUUCCUUCAUACCUGGCAUUUUCCUAUCAUCUGUGACCUACAUCAUCUGUUUACAGCGCUGAAUUAUUUCUAUUGUCUGGAUGGACCACAGUUUAUCCAU